rnacentral:rRNA from 1 species
UUGCAUAUCAAUAAGCGGAGGAAAAGAAACUAACAAGGAUUCCCCUAGUAGCGGCGAGCGAAGCGGGAAGAGCUCAAAUUUAUAAUCUGGCACCUUCGGUGUCCGAGUUGUAAUCUCUAGAAAUGUUUUCCGCGUUGGACCGCACACAAGUCUGUUGGAAUACAGCGGCAUAGUGGUGAGACCCCCGUAUAUGGUGCGGACGCCCAGCGCUUUGUGAUACAUUUUCGAAGAGUCGAGUUGUUUAA